rnacentral:rRNA from 1 species
UACGAAGGGGGCGAGCGUUGUUCGGAUUUACUGGGCGUAAAGGGCGCGCAGGCGGCUCUGUUUGUCAGGCGUGAAAGCCCCGGGCUUAACCUGGGAACUGCGUUUGAUACUGAGAAGCUUGAGUCCGGGAGAGGUGAGUGGAACUGCGAGUGUAGAGGUGAAAUUCGUAGAUAUUCGCAAGAACACCAGUGGCGAAGGCGGCUCACUGGCCCGGUACUGACGCUGAGGUGCGAAAGCGUGGGGAGCAAACAGG